ACAAAUUUCAGCUGCUAAUUCGAGGCUAAUUUCAGACACAGAAAUCAUUCAGGGUUGUUAAUCAGAGCUCCUCAGAAGAGCACACCGUGACUUUUAAAUUGGGGUUGAGUGUAACUUCUUGCUACUCACUGUUUGAAAGGCUGGAUGUAGAAAUUCCUGUGGGAUGGCUGAGAAAGCACCGAGGAGAUUACAUUUGUUUUCUGAGGGCUGCUCUGCCUCCUCCUGUGUCCCGAGAUAAUGAGUUCAACACGAGGGAGAAGUUCAGCAGCAGCUCCCAGCGAGCAUUCCCAAGGUUUUG